rnacentral:lncRNA from 1 species
UUUGUCUUACAUUGCACCCACUUAUACUGUUCUCCACGUGUACUCUCUCUCUCUCUCUCUUCCAAGGUAAAUCAAUAACAUUGGACUAAAAAGGGAGAUACAAAAACACCAAGGAGAUCACAAGUCACUGGUAAGCAUAUUCUCCUUAAGCUUCCCCGACAAAUAUUAAACCAAGAAACAAGCACAAAGUUAUUUGAAGUUAAAGCAAUAAAAAAAUGAAAUUGUUAUCUUCACCAUAAUCACUAUCACUAAGCAAAUCCUAAU